AUUCCGUUCCCUGGGUCUGAUUCGUGAGAUAAGAAGACAGAGGCCGAGCCGAUGCUUACUCGAUCCGAACGCGCCGUUGUUUUGGAUCGUGUCCGCGGCCUGCUAUUUUCAGGGCUGACAUUCGGAGCACGUCCAUCUGCUGCAGCCACCCCUGCUCGCCGGUCCGGCACCGCGUCCCUCGGCUGUUUCUGCUUGACUCAUCUGUUAACAGGUGGACGGAGAGGGUGGAAUAGGAGGCCUUGGCAGUCUGAGUCUGCGUGGGAACAGUCUUACCCGCGUCCGCAACUUCGGAGAAAUCGCGCCGGAAUAGUAGCCAUGAUGAAUUUAUUGCCGCCUUCUUGUUUUUUUUCUUCCUUUCAAAAUUUCUUUCUCCCCUCAUCUCUUUUAUUUAUCGAAGUAUGUAUUUAUUUACCAGGCACCCUGAUAAAGUGUAAUUAAAUAAUUUAACCAAUUAUUAUUAAUAUAUAUAUAUAUAUAUUAAUUUUGGUUACUUUGAGCUCUAGCCAACAUGGCAAAGCCAACAUGGUACCUACUGUAAUGCUUCCACAUUAUAGACACAUUUUGAGGUGGUGAUUCUCCUCAUACCAAAGAAAUGAAGAAUAAAAUAAUGCGGGUAGUCUGAGGGCCUUCGUUGCUCCAGAUUAUUUUACGAGUCUUGAAAGAGCGCACCGCGCACCACAUUAAAAGCGCUCCUCGCCGGACGGCUAACUGCUCCUCUCCUUAAAACUCGGAAGCACCCCAUCAAUUAUGUCCUAAGCAGCCAUACUGAAGAUAUCACUCGGAACAGUGUGAGGGGGACGAGGCUGUCAGGCCGAUGAUAGAUGUGCUGGGAUGGCGGCGGCCUGCCGCGGCGGGCUCUCCUGGGCACGCAGCUGCGGAGUGCUUAAGUGCCGUACGCACGCGCGCGGACACACACGUGCGCACACACACACACACACAAACAUAUGCACGUGCAUGGGCACACAUAUGUACACACACAGCAGGAGGAAGGAAUCUGCCACGGUGCUGGGUAAUGGCAGCCGACGUUAGUGUCUUACGGAGCAAGUAGGGAGUAUCCUUCUCUGAUAGCUCCUGUACGCCUCUACUAGUACAGAACUAACCGUGGGUUUCUCUAAAAGCAGCCUCUCUCUGUUUGUCAGAGGCCUAAUGUACACUGAAGGGAUGGUUCUUUACACUGUAGUUUUUACUUGGAGAGAUUUCCAUUUUGACAGCAGUUAAGUUAGACCUGUCUUAAGCACUGUCCUCCCCCGUCUCCUUAUGACAGCUUAACUGUUACUUUGCCUGUAAAGUAGGCCUACACUGAGAGCAAAAAAUAAUUUGCCUACUCAUUCUUAUAAAAUAUACUUCAUGGAUUAGCAAAGAUUUAAACAGGAGUAAUUAAUCUCAGAUGUUUUCCAAGUUUAUCAUUUUGAAGUGAUACCAAAUAUACAUUGAAGACAAAAUGCAUAUGAUAGUUUUUUCUAAAUAUCUUCCUUUGAAUAACACUUUGACACCAAUGUUUGUCAUGUUUACAUCUCAUCAAAAACCUAACGGGAAAUUCUGCGUGUCAAAUUAAUUUAAAACGCUCGGCCCCUUUGCACAGCUGCAAAUAAAACGACGGUGGCCAUGUCACUAAUUAUACAAUUGCCACUUUGAUGUCCAAUAGUCAUUAAAGAUUCAAUUGGGUUUGGAGAAAAUUAAUAGAGCAUUAAUCAACAUGCGCUAAUUUGCUAAUAACGUGUUAAUUAAAUCACGCAUUUAAAGUUCUGAGACAUGUAAUGCUUAUUCUACCAUACAGUUUCAUUCAGCCUCUGUUCUAGGGAUCGGAGGAAAGGCAGCUCUGUUGGUAUGUGAGAGGAAUUAGGCAGCUCUGAGAGUCGGUGUAGCCCAGACCAGCUGUGCAAAUGUACAUAUGCGCAGCACAUAAUGAAUAAAGCUCAGACUCCACUGAGAUUUAACGUUACCUUGUGUGCGGUGUGGUGAUCCUCCCACAGAAGCGCAAAAGCACAAUUUCACCUUAAAUGAUCGAUCGCGGUAAAUUAACGAAGGAAAUGCCCGGCUCUAACAAAUGAUGAUUUGACCGGAGCUACAGAUGUGCAUUUGCAGCACCAUAUGGUUACCGUUCGCUUUGACUCUGGGAUGUAAAUACAUACCAUUGAGGAGGAUAGAGAAUGGCAGAAAGCCAAUACAAAAGCAUGUCUUGAGCCCCAGAUCAAUGAAUUAUUGUGAUAGUGUGUAGCCAUCGUUGUACCUUAAUGUGAAAUCAAUAGGCCCUGGUGGUAUAAAACGGUUGACCUGAGUUUUCACUUUUUUUUCUUUCCGCAGCUUCCCUCCGUAGUUAUGGUUCCAUAAGCUCUGGGACAUCUUUUAUUUUCAAAGAAUUACAAACGUUGCGGGCGAAUGGGCCGAACAAGUGAGCAGAGUUAAUAAUCGACCUCUCUUAUCGCUCUUAAGGCGGUAACUGAUUCUUUCUUGGCUGCAAUGUUUUGCAGUGCAGUUGGAUUGCACCGUGGAAACUUACAAUUUCGAAUCAGUUCUACCUGACGAAUUAAAUAUGUGAGGGGAGUAACGUUAUGCCAAUAAACCGUUGUUGUGCUUAAAAAUAAUUUGAUUGUAAAACAGUGCAUGCAAAUUAUAGUCUAGCCUACACAAUAAUGUUAUUUUUACGUAGGCCUAUUUUUAUUUAACAUUUAUUUUCAGAAACUAUCGUUGCUUUACUUAAAUUUAAAUUAAACCCAAAUGAUCGAAAAUAUGAUGGUCUUAAAUGUGAAACAUUAAAGGGAAUUUGCGGGACGGUAUCUGUGCUUUCACUAACAAUCAUUAAAACAUGGCUAUUAAAUCUUGAAAUUAUAACUGUAUUUACUUGGAAAAAUCAAAAUACGCUUGAAGACUAACCCCAGAGAAAAAAAGAAACCCACAUCAACUCCAACACAACAUUGCGCAUUCCAGCUAUGUAGGCCUAUCUCAUUCUCCUACAUGCACUGUAUACCAAAACAAAUACUAUAACCAGCUACUCAAAGAAUACAAUAAUCUGAGCGUCCUUUUGAAAUGGACUUUCUUAUUUUCCAUCAUUUACAGCUUUCAAAAAUAAUUGUAAUAGACUAUAGGCACAUUUUUCGUAUAUAAAACUGUUCGGCAGUAGGCCUAUUAUAACUCUCCCAUGAAUUCAUUUGAGGCACAAAAAGGGGGAGGCAGCACCUUGUCCAAACCCCUUCUCUCCUUCCUCGUCCCGCAAUUCUUUUUCUCUCAAUGACGCGUUUCGCAGUACCAAAACCAAUAUAUCACCGUUUUGUUUUGGCAGCAAGUCAGACCGUCGUCUCACCUUAAAGAAGCCUGCCACAGAUCAAUACAUUUGAUGGAAAGCAAUAAUCAGCUCUAUUAAGUGACAAAGGUUUACUCGGUAACAGCUGGGCUGGCGGGAGAGUGGAGCUUGUCUGACUAAUGAAUCGUGAAACAAUCAGGCAGUAGCCAUUUGUGUUUAGAUCUGUAAAUAUGGCGCGGUACAAGUGCCAGACCAUCGCUGGCGCUCCAGCUGGGGCCACAGAUGGUCUGGAUUCAAAGCAGCGCAGGCACCGUUAUCUCCUCAGUCCCACGCUGCACCUCCGCUGUCUCUGACUGACAACUUCACUUUCGCACUAAGUUAUCCACGUGCCCCACGUCGGGCCACCCGGCAUCUUUAAAAAGCUGACAGGUCCCAAGCGACGCCCCCCGAGCUCUCGCGUAGGUCAGUAAGUAAAAAAAAAAAAGAACAAAAAGAAAAAAAGAGGAGAGCAAUGUGAUCUUGCUAUUUAAAGACAUGAUCACUUAAUUAACCUUGGGAAGCGAUGACUAAUUCUGACAUGUUAGCCCAGUGAUACAGCGGGGAGGAGUGUAGUGAAUCUCAUUAAGUGGCUCUCGCUCUCAAAUAGCCUAUGAAUGACAUCGCUGGACACUGAUGCACUUCGUUAUUUGAAGAAGAAUUGAAAAUAUGUACUCUGCUUAUCAGUCCAGCUGGGGAAGCUGGCUCCUAACACGGCGGAGAUAUAUUUCAUGCCCGACAGCUGAAUAAAUACCGCAACAUUCAAACAGACAAAUAAGAAUUCAAUCUUAAACGCUUUUGUCAUUUGCUGGAGCCAAAGAUUGAGGAGGAGAUGGAAUACGUUCAAAAAGCGAAUGCCGAGACGUCCUUGAAGAUAGAGUCGUGAAAGACAUGAAAGGUUUAUUUAAUAUAUUUUCAAGGUAAACGAUCUCGCGGCGGCCUACCUAUCAAGCUUGAGAUGCUGAAAUUGAAAGCAACUGUAUGCAAAUCCAAGCUUGUUUUUGAUCUCCGCUAUUUAAUCCCACAAAACAUUUUGGUUGCAUUUAAUAAUAAUUCAUUGUUCAUUUUCAUGACAUGGUCAUCACAUAACACAUUUGAUUAAUGCAUUUAUGGCGUUUCUAAAAACAACCGCUUUCAGGCUGAGAUGUGAAAAAAGAUUGUGAUCAUUUCCAAUGGAUUUUGCAUUCUUGGCAUGGUAAUGCAUUUGUGGACAAAUGGGUGAUAAAAAUAAGUGUUGAGAAUCAAUCGAAAAUGCCACAAUGCAGAAAUGGCACUGAGAUCAGGGGGCGACAGAAAUACACUUUUUAAAUCUUAUUAAUGAACUGGUAUAAUUCUGCCGUCAAUUAGAGAACGAGAGGAGAGGGCUUACUCUUAACCCUCCAUCUUUGUUCUCGGAUGAUCCAGUAUGAAUAUUUAACCGGCGAGAGGAGAGGGUGGUGAGAACAAGUGCAGUUAGUAUCACUGUUUCAGUCACUAAGGAUUUCAGUGAAUAAAAUCUUGCUUUGGCCAAACAUUCUUCCCCACUUUAAAUUAAUUCAAACCUUUUGUACGCUACUGUUUACCUUAUAUACAUUAUCUAGUUCUUCAUAUCCAAAGUACAUUAAAUAUUUUAAAUAUAUUGUGGGGCCCCUACAUUGACUUAUUUUUCUUAUGCCGCACAGAAUGGAUUGGCUUAUUGUCUUUCACAUGAAUUAGAAAUCAGUUAAAUUCUGUGUAAUGAAUGGACCACGGGAGAAAGAAAUGACUGUGUAGAGUAUAUUUGUUUAAGUUUAAUCUAGUUUACAGAAAUCCUGCAGCCCCUGUGAAAAUAUUAGACGUACCAAGCAAUUGUACAUCAGAUCAGCCCUAGUAAGGCUGUUUGCUUGGUGUGUAAUGUAUGUGUCAAACUAAAUAGCCUACUUUCCUAAGAUCCACAUUCACAUACUGACUGAUUUUUCCCUCUGAAAACUGAAAAUGAAUUUAAUUCUCUAAAUUAAAAUAUGUGUACAUGAAGCUGCAUCUUUUAGAGUAUGUAAACACGCUUCUAAAGAAGGCCGCUCUGCUCCAGCAGUAACACAACGGCUGUGCGCUAGCCUUCGGUUUCUGCGUGUUAAGAUCUUUUUACAUCUAACAGUAAUGUCCGUGCGUGGGUCAGCGGGAACCUUAAACACACGCGGGUAAUGACGCCUGCACCGGACCCUCUGUCCUUGCCUCUGUAAUCCCAAUAAAUACAAACCCCAGAGAUGGAACUUUUCGCAGCGUUAACUGUCAUGACCCCGUUCAGCAGAGGGAAAUGGCUUAACUAAACUGUCAGAUCCAAUAAACCCAAUAAAGGUCUGGGAUAAAUGUUUAUUACAUUGUGGGAAAAGAUCAUUUCUAUACAGAAAUUGAGGAUGACCUUUGCUGAUAAUUUCUCACUGCCCUUUUUUUUUUUUUUAACGUUGGAUAAAUCUGGGGCCCUUUGUUCCUGGCUGAUGUGGUGGAACCUGGCUGACGUCGGACGUAAAACACUCGCCUCCCCUCUUUGCGUCCCAAUCAGAGCUCUCGGGCCGGCCCAAUCACGCGCACCUCAACCCCUAGCCCGUUUAAGAGGGGGUUCUGAGUCAAACACAGGUAGUUAAUAGGCUCGGGGGACCUCUAAAUGGUGGUGUGCGGCUACACUUAUGGUAGCUGUGACACUAAAAUAAAUCACA